rnacentral:rRNA from 1 species
AGUGAACGCUGGCGGUAGGCCUAACACAUGCAAGUCGAACGGCAGCACAGUAAGAGCUUGCUCUUACGGGUGGCGAGUGGCGGACGGGUGAGGAAUACAUCGGAAUCUACUUUUUCGUGGGUGAUAACGUAGGGAAACUUACGCUAAUACCGCAUACGACCUACGGGUGAAAGCAGGGGAUCUUCGGACCUUGCGCGAUUGAAUGAGCCGAUGUCGGAUUAGCUAGUUGGCGGGGUAAAGGCCCACCAAGGCGACGAUCCGUAGCUGGUCUGAGAGGAUGAUCAGCCACACUGGAACUGAGACACGGUCCAGACUCCUACGGGAGGCAGCAGUGGGGAAUAUUGGACAAUGGGCGCAAGCCUGAUCCAGACAUACCGCGUGGGUGAAGAAGGCCUUCGGGUUGUAAAGACCUUUUGUUGGGAAAGAAAAGCAGCAGGUUAAUACCCCGCUGUUCUGACGGUACCCAAAGAAUAAGCACCGGCUAACUUCGUG